rnacentral:rRNA from 1 species
GUGUCAGCCGCCGCGGUAAUACAGAGGGUGCAAGCGUUAAUCGGAAUUACUGGGCGUAAAGCGCACGUAGGUGGAUAUUUAAGUCGGAAGUGAAAGCCCUGGGCUUAACCUGGGAAUUGCCUCCGAUACUGGACAUCUAGAAUAUGGUAGAGGGUAGUGGAAUUUCCGGUGUAGCGGUGAAAUGCGUAGAUAUCGGAAGGAACACCAGUGGCGAAAGCGGCUACCUGGACCAAUAUUGACACUUAGGUGCGAAAGCGUGGGGAGCAAACAGGAUUAGAUACCCUGGUAGUCCACGCCGUCAACGAUGAGAACUAGCCGUUGGAAGAUUAAUUUCUUUUAGUGGCGAAGCUAACGCGUUAAGUUCUCCGCCUGGGGAGUACGGCCGCAAGGUUAAAACUUAAAGGAAUUGACGG